rnacentral:rRNA from 1 species
CGGCACGGGUGAGUAACACGUAUCCAACCUGCCGUCUACUCUUGGACAGCCUUCUGAAAGGAAGAUUAAUACAAGAUGGCAUCAUGAGUCCACAUGUUCACAUGAUUAAAGGUAUUCCGGUAGACGAUGGGGAUGCGUUCCAUUAGAUAGUAGGCGGGGUAACGGCCCACCUAGUCUUCGAUGGAUAGGGGUUCCGAGAGGAAGGUCCCCCACAUUGGAACUGAGACACGGUCCAA